GUAGGUGGCAAGCGUUAUCCGGAUUUACUGGGCGUAAAGCGCGUGCAGGCGGGUUCCGUAAGUCGGGACGUGAAAGCUCAUGGCUUAACUGGGAGAGUGCGUUCGAGACUGCGGGACUUGAGGUCGGGAGAGGGACGUGGAAUUCCCGGUGUAGUGGUGGAAUGCGUAGAUAUCGGGAGGAACUCCAGUGGCGAAGGCGGCGUCCUGGCCCGUACCUGACGCUGAGACGCGAAAGCGUGGGUAGCGAACGGGAUUAGAUACCCCGGUAGUCCACGCCGUAAACGGUGGAUACUAGGUGUUGGUGGCUAUCGUCAUCAGUGCCGUAGCUAACGCGUUAAGUAUCCCGCCUGGGGACUACGGCCGCAAGGCUA
rnacentral:rRNA from 1 species